UGAGGAAUAUUGGGUCAACGGGGCGUGAGCCUGAACCAGCCAAGUCGCGUGAGGGAUGAAGGCCCUACGGGUUGUAAACCUCUUUUAUAAGGGAAUAAAGGGCGCCACGUGUGACGCAUUGCAUGUACCUUAUGAAUAAGCAUCGGCUAACUCCGUGCCAGCAGCCGCGGUAAUACGGAGGAUGCGAGCGUUAUCCGGAUUCAUUGGGUUUAAAGGGUGCGUAGGUGGCUUGUUAAGUCAGCGGUGAAAGUCAGUGGCUCAACCAUUGAAUUGCCGUUGAAACUGGCGAGCUUGAGUACGUACGGGGCAGGCGGAAUGCGUGGGGAGCAAACAGGAUUAGAUACCCUGGUAGU
rnacentral:rRNA from 1 species